GGUGAACGCUGGCGGCGUGCCUAAUACAUGCAAGUCGAGCGAACGGACGAGAAGCUUGCUUCUCUGAUGUUAGCGGCGGACGGGUGAGUAACACGUGGAUAACCUACCUAUAAGACUGGGAUAACUUCGGGAAACCGGAGCUAAUACCGGAUAAUAUUUUGAACCGCAUGGUUCAAAAGUGAAAGACGGUCUUGCUGUCACUUAUAGAUGGAUCCGCGCUGCAUUAGCUAGUUGGUAAGGUAACGGCUUACCAAGGCAACGAUGCAUAGCCGACCUGAGAGGGUGAUCGGCCAAACGGGAACUGAGACACGGUCCAGACUCCUACGGGAGGCAGCAGUAGGGAAUCUUCCGCAAUGGGCGAAAGCCUGACGGAGCAACGCCGCGUGAGUGAUGAAGGUCUUCGGAUCGUAAAACUCUGUUAUUAGGGAAGAACAUAUGUGUAAGUAACUGUGCACAUCUUGACGGUACCUAAUCAGAAAGCCACGGCUAACUACGUG
rnacentral:rRNA from 1 species